rnacentral:rRNA from 1 species
AGCGAACGCUGGCGGCAGGCCUAACACAUGCAAGUCGAACGAAGUCUUCGGACUUAGUGGCGGACGGGUGAGUAACACGUGGGAACGUGCCUUUAGGUUCGGAAUAACUCAGGGAAACUUGUGCUAAUACCGAAUGUGCCCUUCGGGGGAAAGAUUUAUCGCCUUUAGAGCGGCCCGCGUCUGAUUAGCUAGUUGGUGAGGUAAAGGCUCACCAAGGCGACGAUCAGUAGCUGGUCUGAGAGGAUGAUCAGCCACAUGGGGACUGAGACACGGCCCAGACUCCUACGGGAGGCAGCAGUGGGGAAUCUUGCGCAAUGGGCGAAAGCCUGACGCAGCCAUGCCGCGUGAAUGAUGAAGGUCUUAGGAUUGUAAAAUUCUUUCACCGGGGACGAUAAUGACGGUACCCGGAGAAGAAGCCCCGGCUAACUUCGUGCCAGCCGCCGCCGUAAUAC